AAUAAAAGGAAAGUAGUUGCACUUUCCAACUUAAAACAGGACUUGUUUAUCAAAACUAUGUACUAGUAGACUUUUAACAAAGUGUUUUUGUAUCACUAUUUAUUGAAAGAAACAGAGUAUCUAGGGAAGAAUAUUGUAUUACUAUGACCUGCAAGGGGUUUCAAGAAAUCUCAAUCUAAUCAAAAUAUUUUUCCUUUAGAACAUAUUCUUCAACUUAAAGAAGAAAAAGUAUAAAAGCUUUAUUCAAGAUUCGAAAUAGCAUAAUAAUAUGAGAGAGACUGGGAAUAAGAAGAUAAAGAUGCUCUUCUCCAAAAGAAUACAGAGAUUGAGUCAAGGAAAUCUGUCCAAAGGAGAACGCGGAGGAUUUGAGCAGAAAUUACAGAAGUGACCACCUACGGAGCCCACGAUGGUCCGUUGUGACUGUGACGGUCUGUAGGUGGCGCCGUGUGAGAUGAAAAUGGCUGCUAAAGGAAGUUGGGGAAGUCUGACGAAGUGUGGGACUACGGAAGCUCAUGCCGGACCGUCAUAGCCACGACGGUCCGUCCUACAUAUUCGUCGUGGUUGUUAGAGAGUAGUUCCAGUAUCCAAUUUCAAGAAGUUUCUAAGUGUUGUGGAACGGAACCCCUCGACGGACCGUCGUGCUUGCAACAGUCCGUCAUAUCUGUCCGUCGAGGGUAACAGAGAGUUGAUGAAGAAAGCAGUAGAAAAUUAUGCCAAUGACGGAGCCCACGACGGUCCAUCGUGUCCAUGACAGUCUGUCGCAGGGAUCGUCGAUUCAGACGCAUUUUGGACAGAUUUUCCUUAAAUAGAGUCCUUCUUUUAUUAGGUUUUAUUUUUUUUUAUAAAUAGUUUGAAAAACCUCAUUUUUGGGGUUAGACUUUUGGAUAUUUUUUAGUUCUCUUGUUUAAGUAUUGAACUCUUAAUUUUGGUAUUUGAUCAUACUUUUCCGGAAUCAAUUGUUGGUAUUUUUGUGAA